GCGAACCGGUUGGAACGAACCUCCGUGCGGGGGAGGGCGAGGGGCGCCGGAGGCCUCCCCCGAGAACAAAACCCCGGCGCCCCAGGCGCCAAGGAAACGAAACAGAGCAGGGCACGCCCGCCGCCGGUCGCCCGGGGCGGGGUCCCAUGCCGGAUUGCAUCCGAAACGACUCUCGGCAACGGAUAUCUCGGCUCUCGCAUCGAUGAAGAACGUAGCGAAAUGCGAUACUUGGUGUGAAUUGCAGAAUCCCGUGAACCAUCGAGUCUUUGAACGCAAGUUGCGCCCGAAGCCGCUAGGCCGAGGGCACGUCUGCCUGGGUGUCACGCAGCGUCGCCAACGCCCAACACUCUGGGCGCGGCGGAUGAUGGCCUCCCGGGAGCCUCGCCUCCCGGCUGGCCGAAAGAGGGGCCCAACGUGACGACCGCCACGAUCCACGGUGGUUGAGUGAGAGACUCGCUCGAGGCCAAGGAGGGCGCGCGUCGUCUCACGGGGAGGGCCCGCCGGCACUCUGCCCCCCACUCGUACGCGACCCCAGAUCAGGCGGGGCUACCCGCUGAG
rnacentral:rRNA from 1 species